CUUGAAGCUGCCUGAGAACCUCAGAGUGACUAAGAUAUCAAGAUUAAUAUAUACAAAUUCUGGUAAUGCCGUCUUAGCAUUAGCAUCAAAUGCUAUUCACUUGCUUUGGAAGUGGCAAAGGAAUGAACGCAAUACAAGUGGCAAGGCAACAGCCAGUGUUUCACCUCAAUUGUGGCAACCUUCAAGUGGCAUAUUAAUGACAAAUGAUGUGCAUGAACCAAACCAUGAGGAAGCUGUCUCCUGCUUUGCCUUGUCCAAGAAUGACUCGUAUGUGAUGUCAGCAUCUGGUGGAAAGAUAUCCUUGUUCAACAUGAUGACAUUCAAGACAAUGACAACUUUCAUGCCUCCACCUCCAGCAGCAACUUAUAUUGUUUUCCUUCCUCAAGAUAACAACAUUAUCGCUAUUGGCAUGGAUGAUUCUACCAUCCAGAUAUAUAAUGUCCGAGUGGAUGAGGUUAAAAGCAAGCUUAAAGGCCACUCUAAAAGGAUAACUGGCCUCGCCUUUUCUCAUGUGCUCAAUGUGCUAGUUUCAUCAGGAGCUGAUUCUCAGCUGUGUGUGUGGAGCACUGAUGGAUGGGAAAAGCAGAGGGCUAGGACCUUGCAGCUACCGGGUAGAUCGACAUCUCAAUCAGAUACCAGAGUGCAGUUUCAUCAGGAUCAAACUCAUUUCCUGGCUGUGCAUGAGGCACAGAUUGCUAUAUUUGAAACAACAAAGCUGGAAUGUUUAAAGCAGUGGGUUCCACGUGAGAGUGCUGCCCCAAUUUCUCAUGCCACAUUCUCGUGUGAUAGCCAGCUGAUAUAUGCCAGUUUCUUGGAUGCAACUGUGUGCGUAUUCACUGCAGGGCACCUCCAUAUGCGAUGCCGCAUUAUUCCUUCAGCUUAUCUAUCACCCAGUAUUAGCAAUUCAAACAUCCA
rnacentral:misc_RNA from 1 species